UCCGCCAGAGACUCUCCUUUCCUCGCCAAAGUCUGAACGCGGAUGCACCCGAACCAGAUCCAACCACGGCAGCGGCUGCGGACGCCAGCAGCCCGGGCCGCGCACACAUCCAGCUCGGCCGAGGCCAGGCGGGCGGCGGGAUCGCGCCCUCCGAGGGCGCCCGGCCGCGCUCGCCCGCUGCCUCCGGGCCGCUCCCGCGGCGCGCAGGGCCGGCCCGGAUACCCACCACCUCAAUUUGAUCUUAAAUCUGACCCUAUGAGGACUACAUCUUGAGUGUCUUCCUUUACACCACAAGCUACAGAUGUGUGCCUGCAGCCCUGUGACGGAACAGAAUGACUGGUAUUCUCCUCCACAUUUCAGAUGAGGCUCUUCCUUUGGAAGUGGAGGAGUCAGGAAAAAGCACUGUUCUAGCAAACAGGUCCAACACCUUCUUCCUGAUACUACGUUCUACCAUCCUGACAGCUGGGUGAGUCUCGAUUUCUCACUCCCUUGGCCAAACUCUCAGUGCUGAAGUAUGUCAGUUCUAGAUCUCAGGCAAAAUAAACUCUGGUAUCUCAAAUCGAGAAGCUGUCUUUAAGCUAUGCAAAUACUACUAGGAUAUAUGAGUAGUUUACCUUCAUAGGUUUUAUAGUUUGAAAAAUUACUGACAUCCUGUAUUAAGAUAACUUACAAAAAGUAACAUGAGAAAUGGUGGCCAUCUGCAUGUCAGCACAUCUUUCCCUACAACUAUCUCUCAAAAGGUUUGCUAUAUUUUCCUGGAAACAUGUUAUCUGAAAGCAUAAACAAUCUUUAUGGUACUAGAAAUUUUAUUCCUCCAUCUAUACCGAUACAUAUGGACCUAACAAAAUGUUCAUAGUAUUCUGAUGAUCCAAAUAUUUACUUGCAGAAAUUCUUGUUGGGCAAGAAUGAAACAUUUGCUCCAGCUGUUUGGCGAAUCACAUAGUUGCUGGGGUACUAGGUGGGAAGCUAGAAUGUCAAAGCAUUGUCUUGGUUUAGCUUUCCUGAAAGCAUUCUUAUUGACCAGUGGUUCUAAUUUUUCACCCUCAUUCUGCUUAGUUUUUCCUCCCUGUCCCUUCCACAUUGUCAGAAUGGAGUGGGAAACUACCAUGGCCAUUAUAAUAGCUUCCAUCUCUGUGGCUUUAAGAAUCAAAUGAGCAUACUGUGCAAAUGGUCAAUUGCCAUGCAAAUACCAGUUGCUAUGAUCAUAUGCUGUUGUUACAAUGGGUGAGGACAGGCCUGCACACCUACAGAGACCUGCUAACUCCUCUAUGGUCCUAUAUAAUCUCCACUUAAUGUCGACCUUUGGUGCAAAUUAAUUAAACCUUCUUUGCCUUCUUCUGCUCCAAACUAUGGCUUAUCUUAAAAGUUUCUUUAGGGAAAUAUAUCUAAGACAUGUAUUACCAGUGACUUGGCUCACCUCUGGACACUGUCAUUCCUUAGGGCCAUAAAUUUCCUUAGUAGAACAAGAAGCUGCUUUGGAGAGCAAAAGUUUAAUCACUAGGGCCAGGACUGGGCACUUCCACCCUGUCCCACCCUCGCCCUCAUUUGCCUUUAACAUGCCAUUCAGCACCCUCCUGUUACACAUAACAGAUGCUCAGUAAACACUGGUCAGAUCAAUGAGUUGAAUGAAUGACCACAUCUCUGCCAACUAAAAUGGAAGAGAAUGAGUAUUAUCUCAAAAAUGAACUAAACUAUAAAGUCCUUUCCACAAAUUGCCACCAGUUUAAGAAUUCACAUAAUAUCAAAACCCAUCAUCAUAAGCUAACAACACAACACACAUAAACUCUUUGGAAAAUUGAUAACUAAUUGAAACACCACAUCAACCACCAUGGUAGCUACUCUCUAAAUGUGGCCUCCAGUAAUUCUACAUGUGCAUGCCAUUCUCCCAUGAGAAGACACAGCAUAUGUCCUCUACCCUGCAAUCUGGGCUGGACUUGUCACCACUUUGACCAAUAGGACAUGGAGGAAGUGAUGUUCUGGAACUUCAGAGCUUAGUGUUAAGAAGGCCUGGCAGCUGCUGCUUCCUUCCUCUUGGAACCCAGCCACCUUGUUGUGAGGAAACCCACAAGCAGGCCCACAUGCAGGAGAAUUAAGGCCUCGGAACUGAAAACCUAGCUGAGUUCCCAGCCCACAGCCAGUAACAACUUGCUAUCCAUGUGAAUAAGCAUCCGGGUGUGGCCCCCCCAGCCCCAGCUGAGCUUGCCAUAGCUGAUGCCAUGGGGAACAGAGAGAAGCUGUUUGUGCAGAACCCUGCCCAAAUUGCAAAAUUGUGAGCAAGUAAAUAAUUGCUGUGUUUUAAGCUAUUAAAUCUGUAGUUUCUUCCAAAGCACUAAGUAACUGAAAUAACCAUCUAGGUCAGCCCCAGCUAGGACAACUUAUGUCAGAAUGAGACACAUCCGUGAGCAUUACCUUUGCUUUCUUGCCUCUGCAAGGGAAUGAUGAGGAACCUCAAGUUAGAGAAAGAACACUGCUGAAAGAAAGAUAAAUAACUAGCAACAAAAAAAUCCUAAAAUAAGAAAAACCUUUGCCAAAAUAAGGAAAAGUUUUCUAUUUGAUAAAGUAGAAGAAAACUUAACGUGACAAUGUUAAUGAAAGAAUAGAUCUGAUCUUCCUUUUUCCUUUUGGAGGCCGAGAACAUUUGUAAAACUAAAAAUUCUCUAGUAAUCCCUUCUUUCAUCUAAAACAGAUUGCAGUUUUAAGCACAGCCUCAUGAAACUGCAGGUUCAAAGGAACCUGAAACUGAAUUAGCAUAAAAUCUGGAAUUCUCAUUUCCACCAAGUGCACAGCUGCCAUCUGACAGAUCUUCUGUGAUUUCGGUUUCAAACAGAAACUGAAAGUAGCUGAGGUGGUGUGAGCCACAGGCUCUGCUUCCCAGCCUCACUCCGUCCACACACUCACGCAUUCCAUACCCUGUCCACACACUCACAGGAGAGUCUCAGCUCUGUCUUAGGUUCUGGCACGCAUGCCCUGUGUGGCAACCUGCUCAACCAAACUAGUGAGGAAAAGACUGCAGCCAGUGUGGGUGUUGCCCGUACGAUACAAAUACUUUGAUAAUAACCUAGAAGUGUUAAAUAUUUUUUAACUAAAUUCACAAAAAACAGUGAAUCUGCUGGGACAGAGUUGGUGGAAGCAGUAAAGCACCCUUUCCCAGUUUUUGCAUUACAAAUGCCAAGAAACCCACACUCCUACACUAGAAUUUAAAUGCCAGCAGGUAUGUUGAUACUCUUAACAUGAUUCACUUAACACUUCCUGAGCACUCUCCUUAGGUAAUGACAACUCUAAGCAACUACAGCUAAUUCUGGAAAACCCAAGGGGCGUUGCUUUGCCUACUGCUGAAAUACCAUCACCUCUGGGACAAAAAGUUACACUUCUUUGUAUAAGGAAGAAAUGAAAAAAAAAGAUCGCAUGUGUCUGAUGCCCCCAAGGAGUACAUGUGCUGGAAGAGGAUUUUCUCACCCCCAUAGAGAGGGUGGAUUUGCCCAGAGCCAUCCCCAACUUCCUCCUCUGAUUCCCAUAUGAUCAACUGUGUGAAUUCAAGUGACAGCUGGUGGGGGCUGCAUCAACAGCGCAAGGAAAGCAAAGCAGGCUGCCGCCAUGCAGGGAGAGGGAGGCGCGGCCCUCUCCUCCUUCCCUCACACACCUCCCUGCCGGAUUCUCUGUCCUCCACGCCCCACGCUGAGCCAUCUGCUCCUGAACCAGGGCCUGGAUGUUAACUUAACAGCCACCACUAUGGCAAGAAGGUGCCAGAAAUUCACAGGGAGGCAAGUGGCUGUUCAGGGGCUUGGUCACCCAGGCUUGAGUCCCCUCUGAAGUUCCUCUGCUGUCAGUGUACGAUUUUUCAUAUUCUCCAGGAGAAAAAAAAAUUUAGUGAGCAUCUGGUAUUUACACAGAAUCUUAGAGGGAGUUGACGGAUUUAAUGGAAGUGUUAGUAAAACAGAAAAAUUGUAGCCAGGCUUUCAAAUAGCCACUCGCCUGUAAGGAGAGUAACAAGACUUUCCUUUGUGCUGCUGGUAAAGGAUGCAGUUUAUUAUCCUAGCAGUGAAUUUUCUUGGAGAAGGGGAGGUUGGUGAAAAUACAGUUGUUGGCUGGUAGCUUUUACCUUAAUUUAUGAAGUUGUCCUCCUUAUACAAAGAUCAAGCUACAAACAACAUUCAAGCAGGCUGUGUGCUCUUGAGUUUUUUUUUUUUUUUCUGUUGCCCUAGUGGUGAUGGACUUGCUGUUAGCAGGGCUCACUGACAACAUGCAUUUGUGAAAUGAGUGGCUGGGUUAAAGGUACAACCCAAGGCCAGGAAAAUGACUGUAAAUAACUGACCUAUAUGAGGAUUAGAGUAGUGGCCUGAUCUUCAUUGGUAGCAGGCUCUGGUGAAUUUUAAAACUGGUUGCAGGGCCACUGCAGACCAUUAUGGGGAAAGUUGGUUGCUGAAAGGACUGUAUAGGAUUAGCAAAAUCAGGAGACCUGGGUUUAGAACAGUUCUAGUUCUAGUCCCUACUAGUUGUGGUUUCAGAUAAGUCAUUGAACUUUUUCUUUACCAUAUUAUUAGCAUACAGGUUGUGAUGAAUAAUCUCUCUUGCUCUCUUCCGUACUUAAGAUUUUGUGACUCUGUAUGAACUAAUAUCUAGAUUAUAAACAGAGAACUGUCUCUGUGCUAGAAAAAACAUUUUCCAAUGUCUGUUUUCUUAGAGUUUAUAGGAUUAAUUCUAAGUAGGGCAUCCCAUUUGCCUUGCCUUUUCUGGCCCCCCCCCCCACUCUCUUGGAAUUUCCCAAUAAAUCAAACAUGUCAGAAGUAUAGUACGGUUUGCAUUUAAUACUUCCAACUGUUAAGUAUAAUUUAACUUCCUCAUCAAAACAGUCAAGGCACAAGUGAGCCUGCCAAGGUCUACGCCUCUGUCACUUGGUACCAUGGGCCCAUUAAACACAUUUGUGAGCUUUGUGUUUAAAAGGAAACCAAAAGGGUAAACGUGUCAUCAUGUACUCUUUAAUCUGAAAUCCACAGGGGAAGGACUUCAGAAAGCAAGAAAAAAAAAUACACAUGCCCUCCCCUGAAUGCCCCCCAAACCUCCCACCCUCACCCCCUCCAUCAAAACACUGCUCUUUCUGAAGCUGGGCUUUGUCCUCAUCAGACCAUUCCUAGCCAAAGCAAUGUGCAGACCACAUUGGGAACCAAUUUAGGCAUUUCUGACUUCUCAACAAUCAAAUAAAACAAUAAAUAGCCUGAACUGGGCUUGAAGGGGAAGAGGCCCACAUGUAUUUCCUCUCUGAAUUUUUUUUUUUUUAACAUGAAAGUUUGGCUUGAAAAGAACUUAUUGCACAGACACAUGUGGCCUCAAUAGGAUAGAUCUUGAACUGAUGAGACAGAUUCCAGAUUCAAGCACAAUAUCAGCAUUCAAAUCCUCAGAAUGUAGUCAUGGAAAGUUUGGGUCACAUUAAGGGCUGUGGGAUCCAGGGAUGAGAUUUAGUUUUAAAUUAGCCUCUUGGGCAGGCCAAAGAGCCCCCUAAGAAGCACCAUAUGUCUCAAAUUCCACCUCUUUCCUUCUCUCUUGGUACUUCCCAUUUGAUGGACCAGAAAAAUUCCUGGCUUCAGACAACUUCCCUGUAUAUUUAUUGCUGACUCCCAUCCUUAGAAUUACUUAAAAGAAAAAACAAAACCUCUGUUUUAAAAUGUUUCCCAACUUUUUAUUUUGGAAAAUCUAAAACUUAAAGACAGAAGCAUGGCAUGGACACCCCAAAGCCCUCCAUUUAUGUUACUCGAUUGGUACCAUUUGCCACAUUUACUUGCUCUCUCAUUACUCUUGAAUUGCAUUAAGAUAUACAUACCACGGGGCGGCCAUUCAUCUACUCAUUUAGUGUUUGUAUGGGGGAAAGCACACUAUCCCAGCUGUCCUUCUAUGCUUUCCUCACGGUCACUGUCUGAGUGGUUAGCAUGCCAGACUCCGACUGGGCCAUGUUUACUGGUGGACCGGGUCCCUGUGUGUUGGAAAAGCACACUGUAUUGAGAAGGUCUGCACACGUCUGGGUCUUCUUUCUGCUUCCAGGACUGGUGGUGACCAAGCUCAGCAGGAGGGAGUGGGGGCUGGAAGUUGCUUUGGGUGUGGUGGUCAGUCAACAGUAAAAUUGGGUACGGGGACAGGACAGGGCCUGCUUUUGUGGAAAGCCAGAGGCACGUGGCUUGCUCUGGCACAGGCUGCCAAGAGGCUUGUUUGAGGAUAUUUGGCCUUCAGCCAACCAGCAAUAAAGUGGUCUUCAACGUUUCCUGACAUUGUUUCUUCAUCUGUAGAAUGGAAAGUCUCAUGUACCUACCUUGGAGUUGCUGAGGAUUGAAUCAGCUAGAGCAGCACCUAGUACGUCGUAAGUGCUCAACAGCUGCCCCUGUUACUACUCUUACUGCUGCUCCUUGUAUGUCCUGCUCCUUCAGGUACCACUUCGAAGGAAAGCUGGUAGGCAAGGCAAGACCUGGAUGUACACUUGGCCAUGUUAGCCUCUUAAUCUCAUCAAAUCCUUUCCUUAACUUUAAUAGUGUGUGGCCUACUAUACAAUUAAUUUUUAGAUGGUAUACUAAAAGCCAUUCAUUCAGUAAGGAUAUUUUUACUGAAUAUAGACUAUAUGUAUGAAAACAAAAAACUCAUGUUAUUUGCCCUUGGGGAACUUAAAAUUUAGAGAAGAGAGAAGAUAAAUGCAUGCAUUAGCUAGAAGGCAGAAUAUGACAGGUGUCCUGGGUGGCACCAGGAACAGGGACCUGGGGGAGAAGGUUCAUCUGGCAGGAGAAGGCAGUUGGAAUAAGGGGAAGGUAGGGUGGGAAAAAAAUGCCAAAGAGGCAAGGACAUGAUGACGUGGAGAGCUGCAGAGAGCUAAAGCUUGGGCAACUGGUUAGAUCGGGAACACGGAAGCAAGAGGACACUCGCUGGGGAAUACAAAGAAAUUGCUUUGGACAAAGUGAAUCUAAAAUACUGUAAGGAAAGCCCAGCCAUGGUCAGAAGUACAGGAACACAGGAGAGGGCUCAGACUCGUGGAUAAAGUGAGGCUGUCCUCUGUAGAGAGAUGAGGGCCUAUGACUGCCAAGAGCUCAACUGCGGGGUGCAGGGAAGGCUGA